GCCCAGGUUUGAAUCCAGGCUCUGCCAUUUGCUUGCCAUAGGACCCUGGGCAAGUUACUUGACCUCUCUGUGCCUCAGUUUCCCAUCUCUGAAGUGGGGGUAAGCCUACUUGUCUCAGAGUUAUUGUGAGGCU
rnacentral:snoRNA from 1 species